UAUCAUAUCCGCGUGUACCGCAAAAAGCGGUCGUCGAAUAUUUCAUGGGGGAUAAGAAACAAGUUCUUGACGAGGCUUCCUCGGUUAAUCUCUGCCGAUCGAGCAGGCAUGCACGGCUGUCCGUACCACGUCAAAGUUAACGAUCGCCUUACUGUAAUACGGAUCUGGCGCAGCCUAAGCCCCUCGCAUUAAACUUUAAGCCGAGCUUUCCACGGCGACACCCCUAUCGAUGGAGAAUACGUCUCUUGUCGGG